rnacentral:rRNA from 1 species
AUUGAACGCUGGCGGCAGGCUUAACACAUGCAAGUCGAGCGGGGGAAGGUAGCUUGCUACCGGACCUAGCGGCGGACGGGUGAGUAAUGCUUAGGAAUCUGCCUAUUAGUGGGGGACAACAUCUCGAAAGGGAUGCUAAUACCGCAUACGUCCUACGGGAGAAAGCAGGGGAUCUUCGGACCUUGCGCUAAUAGAUGAGCCUAAGUCGGAUUAGCUAGUUGGUGGGGUAAAGGCCUACCAAGGCGACGAUCUGUAGCGGGUCUGAGAGGAUGAUCCGCCACACUGGGACUGGGACACGGCCCAGACUCCUACGGGAGGCAGCAGUGGGGGAUAUUGGACCAUGGGGGGAAACCUGGUCCCGGCAAGCCGCGUGUGUGAAGAAGGCCUUAUGGUUGUAAAGCACUUUAUGCGAGGAGGGAAAUACUUUAGUUAAUACCUAGAGAUAGUGGACGUUACUCAAAGAAUAAGCACCGGCUAACUCUGUG